CCUACGGGAGGCAGCAGUGGGGAAUAUUGGACAAUGGGGGGAACCCUGAUCCAGCGACGCCGCGUGAGUGAAGAAGUAUUUCGGUAUGUAAAGCUCUAUCAGCAGGGAAGCAAGAAAUGACGGUACCUGACUAAGAAGCCGCGGCUAACUACGUGCCAGCAGCCGCGGUAAUACGUAGGGGGCAAGCGUUAUCCGGAUUUACUGGGUGUAAAGGGAGCGUAGACGGCGAUGCAAGUCUGAAGUGAAAGGCGGGGGCCCAACCUCCGGACUGCCUUGGAAACUGUAUGGCUGGAGUGCAGGAGAGGUAAGUGGAAUUCCUAGUGUAGCGGUGAAAUGCGUAGAUAUUAGGAGGAACACCAGUGGCGAAGGCGGCUUACUGGACUGCAACUGACGUUGAGGCUCGAAAGCGUGGGGAGCAAACAGGAUUAGAUACCCCUGUAGUC
rnacentral:rRNA from 1 species